rnacentral:rRNA from 1 species
UCAAGUGACUAAGUGCAUGUGGCGGAUGCCUUGGCGAUCACAGGCGAAGAAAGACGCGGCAGCCUGCGAAAAGCUGCGGGGAGCUGGCAAACGAGCUUUGAUCCGCAGAUAUCUGAAUGGGGGAACCCACACCGCAAGGUGUAUCCGUGACUGAAUACAUAGGUUACGGAGGCGAACGAGGAGAACUGAAACAUCUAAGUAUCCUCAGGAAAAGAAAUCAACCGAGAUUCCGGCAGUAGCGGCGAGCGAACCCGGAGGAGCCUAGCUUUUGAUAGUACGAACUUUAGCCGAAAGGUCCUGGAAAGGCCUGCUAUAGUGGGUGAUAGCCCCGUAGGCGAAAGAGUUCGUAUGGUACUAAGGAAGCGAGAAGUAGAGCGGGACACGUGGAAUCCUGUUCGAAGAUGGGGGGACCAUCCUCCAAGGCUAAAUACUCGUGAUCGACCGAUAGUGAACCAGUACCGUGAGGGAAAGGCGAAAAGAACCCCGGGAGGGGAGUGAAAUAGAACCUGAAACCGCAUGCAUACAAACAGUAGGAGCCUCGUCAGAGGUGACUGCGUACCUUUUGCAUAAUGGGUCAGCGACUUACAUUCUGUGGCGAGCUUAACCGAAUAGGGGAGGCGCAGCGAAAGCGAGUUCGAAAUGAGCGUCCAGUCGCAGGGUGUAGACCCGAAACCAGAUGAGCUAUCCAUGGCCAGGUUGAAGGUGUGGUAACACACACUGGAGGACCGAACCGACUAGUGUUGCAAAAUUAGCGGAUGAGCUGUGGAUAGGGGUGAAAGGCCAAACAAAUCUGGAGAUAGCUGGUUCUCCCCGAAAACUAUUGAGGUAGUGCCUCGUGUGUCGCUCCAGGGGGUAGAGCACUGUUUUGGCUAGGGGGACAUGGAGUCUUACCAAACCAAGGCAAACUCCGAAUACCUGGAAGCGUGAGCACGGGAGACAGAGCACCGGGUGCUAACGUCCGGACUCAAAAGGGAAACAACCCAGACCGCCGGCUAAGGUCCCCAAUAACAGCUAAGUGGAAAACGAAGUGGAAAGGCCGUGACAACCAGGAAGUUGGCUUAGAAGCAGCCAUCCUUCAAAGAAAGCGUAAUAGCUCACUGGUCGAGUCCUUCUGCGCGGAAGAUGUAACGGGGCUAAGCUGUUAACCGAAGCCGCGGAUGCACUGAUUAUUCAGUGCGUGGUAGGGGAGCGUUCUGUAAGUCUGCGAAGGCGGUUCGAGAGGACUGCUGGAGAUAUCAGAAGUGCGAAUGCUGACAUGAGUAACGUUAAAGCAGGUGAAAAGCCUGCUCGCCGUAAGCCCAAGGAUUCCUGCUCUACGUUCAUCGGAGCAGGGUGAGUCGGCUCCUAAGGUCAGGCCGAAAGGCGUAGCCGAUGGGAAUCAGGUUAAUAUUCCUGAACCUGCGUCAGAUGCGAUGGGGGGACGGAGCAUGAAAGAUCAUCCGGGUGUUGGAUGUCCCGGUUGACGAGCGUAGGAGGUCUGCAGGCAAAUCCGCAGACGCAUCUCCAAGGCGAAGUCACGUGCCGCCACGGCGGCGAAGUGAUCGGAAGUGCUUCCAAGAAAAGCCUCUAAGCACCAGUCUGGCGCGGACCGUACCGCAAACCGACACUGGUGGGCGAGCUGAAUAUGCUCAGGCGCUUGAGAGAACUCGGGAGAAGGAACUCGGCAAAUUGACACCGUAACUUCGGAAGAAGGUGUGCCGUAGUACCGUGAGAGGAGAGACACCUUGAGCGGGAAUCGGUCUCAGAGAAUAGGUGGCUGCGACUGUUUAUUAAAAACACAGCACUCUGCAAAGUCGAAAGACGACGUAUAGGGUGUGAUGCCUGCCCGGUGCUGGAAGAUUAAUUGAUGGGGUGAGAGCCCUUGAUCGAAGUCCCAGUAAACGGCGGCCGUAACUAUAACGGUCCUAAGGUAGCGAAAUUCCUUGUC